AGAGAUUUAAGUUAACAAGACUAAGAGCCUUCAAAGCCCUAAGCAGGAGUUAGAAUCUCCUAAUCUCUG
rnacentral:tRNA from 12 species